rnacentral:rRNA from 1 species
GUCUACGGCCAUGCCACCCUGAUCGUGCCCUAUCUCAUCUGAUCUCGGAAGCUAAGCAGGAUUGGGCCUGGUUAGUAUUUGGAUGGGAGACCACCUAGGAGUACUAGGUGCUGUAGACA